UACGUAGGGGCCGAGCGUUGUCCGGAGUUAUUGGGCGUAAAGCGCGCGCAGGCGGCCUCGCGCGCCCGACGUGAAAGCCCCCGGCUUAACCGGGGAGGGUCGUUGAGGACGGCGGGGCUUGAGGGCGGGAGAGGUCGGUGGAAUUCCCGGUGUAGUGGUGAAAUGCGUAGAGAUCGGGAGGAACACCUGUGGCGAAGGCGGCCGACUGGGCCGACCCUGACGCUGAGGCGCGAAGGCGUGGGGAGCGAACGGG
rnacentral:rRNA from 1 species